rnacentral:rRNA from 1 species
UACGGGGGGAGCAAGCGUUGUUCGGAUUUACUGGGCGUAAAGGGCGCGUAGGCGGCCACCGCAAGUCGACUGUGAAAUCUCUGGGCUUAACCCAGAACGGUCAGCCGAUACUGCGGGGCUAGAGUGCAGAAGGGGCAACUGGAAUUCUCGGUGUAGCGGUGAAAUGCGUAGAUAUCGAGAGGAACACCUGCGGCGAAGGCGGGUUGCUGGGCUGACACUGACGCUGAGGCGCGAAAGCGUGGGGAGCAAACAGG